rnacentral:rRNA from 1 species
UACGUAGGGUGCAAGCGUUGUCCGGAAUUAUUGGGCGUAAAGAGCUCGUAGGCGGUUUGUCGCGUCUGCUGUGAAAACUCGGGGCUUAACCCUGGGCCUGCAGUGGGUACGGGCAGACUAGAGUGCGGUAGGGGAGACUGGAAUUCCUGGUGUAGCGGUGAAAUGCGCAGAUAUCAGGAAGAACACCCGUGGCGAAAGCGGCUCUCUGGAACGGUACUGACGCUGAGACGCGAAAGCGUGGGGAGCGAACAGG